CUACGGGUGGCACCAGUGGGGAAUAUUGGACAAUGGGGGAAACCCUGAUCCAGCAAUGCCGCGUGUGUGAAGAAGGCCUGCGGGUUGUAAAGCACUUUCGGUUGGGAGGACUGCUUCUAGCACUAAUAUUGUUGGAAGUUGACGUUACCUUCAGAAGAAGCACCGGCUAACUCCGUGCCAGCAGCCGCGGUAAUACGGAGGGUGCAAGCGUUAAUCGGAAUUACUGGGCGUAAAGCGCGCGUAGGCGGCUAGAUCAGUCGGGUGUGAAAGCCCCGGGCUUAACCUGGGAACUGCAUCCGUACUGUCUAGCUUGAGUACAGGAGAGGAGAGUGGAAUUCCACAUGUAGCGGUGAAAUGCGUAGAUAUGUGGAGGAACACCAAUGGCGAAGGCAGCUCUCUGGCCUGAUACUGACGCUGAGUUGCGAAAGCGUGGGGAGCAAACAGGAUUAGAUACCCGAGUAGUC
rnacentral:rRNA from 1 species